rnacentral:rRNA from 1 species
UACGGGGGGGGCAAGCGUUGUUCGGAAUUACUGGGCGUAAAGGGCUCGUAGGUGGCCAACUAAGUCAGACGUGAAAUCCCCAGGCUCAACUUGGGAACUGCGUCUGAUACUGGAUGGCUUGAAUUCGGGAGAGGGAUGCAGAAUUCCAGGUGUAGCGGUGAAAUGCGCAGAUAUCAGGAGGAACACCGGUGGCGAAGGCGGAUCUCUGGGACGGUACUGACGCUGAGACGCGAAAGCGUGGGGAGCGAACAGG